rnacentral:snRNA from 1 species
GUGCUCACUUUGGCAGCACACAUACUAAAAUUGGAAUGAUACAGAGAAGAUUUAGCAUGCCCCCUGCACAAGGAUGACAUGCAAAUCCGUGAAAUGUUCCCUAUUUUU